AACUUUACUGUGGGAUGCCCGACUCGCC
rnacentral:piRNA from 1 species